GACGGACCUAGGUGAGGACAGGUAUUUCCUGCCCAAAUGUUGCAUUUCCCAAGACCACCCUGGCCUGCCACGCCCCCAUCUUGGGCCUAUAAAAACCCGAGGCGCCCUACCCCCAGCAGGUAGACACAAAAAGCGGCUGAGCAUUGUGAGGAACACGUCGGCAGAGGAAGAUACAAGCCACUGGUCAUCGAGGGCACACUGGCAGAAGAGCACGCCAACAGGCACUAGCAGGUCGACAAGCCGGGCCAUAGACUGGUGGAAUGACGCGAAGUUUUCCAGGGGAAAACCAUCUCCCUUCUGGCUCCCCCAUCUGCUAAGAGUUACUUCUACUCAAUAAGACCUUGUACUCAUUCUCUAAGCCCGUGUGUGCUCCAAUUCUCCUGGUACACCAAGUUUAUCUUCACAGAAAGGUUUCUUCAGCACAUGUCCAAGAACCCAGAAAUGGUCUCAGGAGGGCUUAGCAUUUAACACAUGGGGCGUGACUUCAACUAAGCUUGGGAUGUUGCCAGUUCAAAAGUGCAGAAGCCAUACACACAGAGAAACUAUCUGGGAGAAGAAAUAUAGAAGAUAAAUCUGGAACACUGUGUGACACAAAAUAAGAAAACUGUGAAAGGAAAACGAGCCAUUGUCAAAAUGACACAUGAGCCAGCUUGAGUGGACUUUCACUAUCCAAAGAUUUCCAGUUUUUCCAGCACCAUCUACUGAAGAGACUGCCCUUUCUCCAGUGUAUGUUCUUGGCACCUUUGUCAAAAACGAGUUCACUUUCUCCUUUAGGUGAAGUCAAAGAGCGCUUUACAUGAAAGCAAAGAACAUAACAUUUUCAAACACAUCAAACUAUGCCAAAUGAGGUGCAAUCUGCUCUACAUAUUUCAAAUGAAAAUGGUAAGCAGCUUUCAGAGACCAUCAUGUUAUGAUUGGCAAGAGGACAGGCAUCAAAUGGAAAAAGAAAAUAAGGUAUUGUUAUGCUGUCCAGCACAGGCUGGUGUCUAACUCCUGGAUUAAAGCCAUCCUCCCUCCUCAGCUUCUCGAGUAUCUGGGACUACAGCACUUCCACAUCUUUCUGCUUUAACGUUCAGCACAAGCUAUAAUCAAUAUGUAUCUAUAUAAAGUCAAUACAUAUCCCUGGCUACGAUGUGAGCUUUUAAGAAAUGGGACUAUGUUCAGGAGAUCAAGACCAUCCUGGCUAACACGGUGAAACCCCAUCUCUACUAAAAGUACAAAAAGAAUUAGCCGGGCAUGAUGGCGGGCACCUGUAGUCCCAGCUACUCGGGAGACUGAGGUAGGAGAAUGGUGUGAACCUGGGAGGCGGAGCUUGCAGUGAGCGGAGAUCACGCCACUGCACUCCAGCCUGGGCAACACAGCGAGACUCCAUCAUCUCAAAAAAAAAAGAAAUGGGACUAUGUUUUUUUCAUCUCUGUAUUCACAGAGCUUAGCAUAAUGUCUAUAAUAUAGCUAUUUAUUAAAUAUCUCAUAUUUAUUGAAUAUUUGCUAAAUGAAUAAGUCAAUCAACCAUGCUAACCAUAAUCACAAUAAGUAAUUUUCACUGUUUGCUUAUUUUCACCAUUCAUUUUAUGAAUAUAUUCGGCACCUUAAGAAUAUUGGCAGAAACACAACAGUCUUAAUGCAGCUUUCCAGGAAUGCUCCAUUUUUCUCUCUUCUCUCUUCCUCUAAGGCAGCUCUAUACAAGUUUAGCAAAAUUAAAUAUAUGUGGAAGUGUUAGUGGAUUCCUUCAAAGUAAUUAGUGGGUUUUGCUUCAUGAGGAGCAGGAAAAGUGAAAGUGUCAUGUAUCAAUUCCAUUGCUCCUGAGUUUAUUUCCUUGAGCUAAACCAAAAUGAAACAAGUGGACAUGGUAAACAGACUACAAAAAAAAAAAAAAAAAAAAAGAAAAACUGUCUAAAAGUUGACUUUGUUCUGAAUUCCUUUAUAAUUGCCUCAGUGUUUUUAUAUAGUUUAAAUACAACAGACACAGUUUAAAAUAGUGCAUUUCAUUUAUUUUCACCAUCUCCCACCUGUUCGUGAAUGGCACUGGGUAAGAAUAAAGAUGGCUAAACUAAGCAUGGAGAUGGGGAAAAGAUAAUGCUUAUGCAAAUGUCUGAAAAAACUUACAUUAUUUUCUGAACAUAGAAGAGGAGGCUUAAGUACUAAAAAUACAUACAACUGCUCCCUUACAUAUUACUAUAGCUGCUUUUAUAAAACUUUGAAGAAUUUGCCUAUCUCAGUUUAUCUUUUCUCAAAACUUCAGAAUCAAAAUCUUUACAUUAUUCCAGAAAUAAAGGUGGUGUAAAUAAAUAUAUUAGAGCUAUGCAUUCACCUUGUUUUUUUGUUUUUUUAAGACAGGGUCUCACUCUGCCUACUUAGACUGGAGUACGGUGGCAUGAUGUGGGCUCUCUGCAACCCCUCCAUCCCGGGUUCAAGCAAUCCUCCCACCUCAGCCUCCCUUGUAGCUGGGACUACAGGCGCAUGUCACCAUGCCUGCCUUUUUUUUUUUUUUAAUUUUUGUAGAGACAGGGUUUCACCAUGUUGCCCAGGCUAGUCUCGAACUCCUGGGCUCAAGAGAUUUGUGCACCUCAGCCUCCCAAAGUGCUGGGAUUACAGGCAUAAGCCACCACGCCCAUCCCAUUUACCUUGUUUGUUUAUUUUAGUUUUAGAUCAUUUAAAAGAAUUUCUUUUAGCUCCUAAUUAAAUUUCAUUCCCAUAACAUUUUUCUCCUUGCCCUCUAGGCUAAUACUUAAGAAAUAUCUGGGAACUUCUUGGAUAUUUGGGCACAGAUGGAAGAAAGAAGUCGGGGUGAGGGGGUCAGUAUUGAGGAUAAGAUUAGCCAAAAAGAACAAUGUACACAAUUAGGCAAUUAACCAUCCCUGUUCCAUGGGACUGGUGACCACCUCAGUCCUUCAAUCUGACAGUCCUAGGUCUGUGCCUCUUUGAAUUUUCUAUGGGGCAUAAGAGCAGAGGUUCAGAGUCUACAUUACUGAACAAUCUUCCCAGGACACAAUCAAGAGAAGCAGCAAAUUAGAAAGUCUGCUUUCCAGCCGUUUUGUGUUCUAGGGUGCUCUGGUGCCUUAAAAAGAGACAGAGAGAGAAGAGAUAUUGGAAUAAGAUGUAGGCAGACAGAUAUAGAUAAACUUUAAAGAUGAGAAAUGCUUUCUUUUCUCUCUUAGUAUCUCACAGAGCACCUGGACACCUCAUCAUGCUCAGCUUUGUUCCUUGCUGGAGAGGAGCUGCGUUCCUUUGGAGGGGGAGAGGCGCUCUGAUCAACAUUAGACAGAUCAACGAGACAGAAAGUUAAAAAGGAUAUCCAGGAAUUGAACUCAACUCUGCACCAAGUGGACCUAAUAGACAUCUACAGAACUCUACACCCCAAAUCAACAAAAUAUACAUUCUUCUCAGCACCACAUCGCAGUUAUUCCAAAACUAACCACAUAGUUGGAAGUAAAGCACUCCUCAACAGAAAUUAUAACAAACUGUCUCUCAGACCACAGUGUAAUCAAACUAGAACUCAGGAUUAAGAAACUCACUCAAAACCACUCAACUACAUGGAAACUGAACAACCUGCUCCUGAAUGACUACUGGGUACAUAAUGAAAUGAAGGCAAAAAUAAAGAUGUUCUUUGAAACCAGUGAGAACAAAGACACAACAAACCAGCAUCUCUGGGACACAUUCAAAGCAGUAUGUGGAGGGAAAUUUAUAGCACUAAAUGCCCACAAGAGAAAGCAGGAAAGAUCUAAAAUUGACACCCUACAUCACAAUGAAAAGAACUAGAGAAGCAAGAGC
rnacentral:lncRNA from 10 species